rnacentral:misc_RNA from 1 species
UAAUUUGAAGUUUGAUAAUCUUUCAUAGGGUCUGACUAGAAAAACAUUUCAACCGUAUACUUUCAAGCAGUUACAAGAAAUAAUUAUGAGCCGUAUCCAAGAACUUCAGGCUUUUGAUCCUGAUGCUGUUCAAUUAGUUGCACGUAAAGUUGCUGCAAUAUCAGGUGAUGCUAGAAGAGCCUUGGACAUCUGUAGGUUUGCUACAGAGGUUGUGACUUCUAAUAAGUCUUCACCUAAGAAAAAAUGCAAAGUUCUUAUUGGAAUGGAGCAUGUGGAUAUUGCUCUUCAACAGAUGUUUUCAUCACCUCUUGUUUUAGCUAUAAGGUCAUCUUCUAAUAUUGCAAAACUGUUCUUCCGAGGUAUACUUUCAGAAUUUAUGAGAACUGGAUCUGAGGAGACAACACUACUCAGGAUACACCAACAAGUGGUUGCUGCUUGCAGAUUUGAAGUAUAAAUUUGGACUUGUGGCUCUCGAACUUUCAUAAAACCUAUCAUGAGGCUCCCAUCGUUUUGAAGUUUGGCCAUCCCUGGGCAAAAGCCUCCAAAUUUCUCUGAAGUUCACAAUAUUUGCGCUCAUCUGGCAGCAUCACAUCUUAUUCUGGUCGACAACUUUCAAAACGAUUUACAUAUGAAAAUACGUCUGAAUGUUAGUUCUGAUGAUGUAAG